GCUUACACAUGCAAGUCGAGUGCGCGCUUGUAGCAAUACAAGUGGCGCACGGCGCACGGGUGCGUAACACGUGGGUAACCUGCCCUUUGGUGGGGAAUAACCUCGCGAAAGCGAGGCUAAUUCCGCAUAAGAUCCGCAAGGAUGAAAGCCGCAAGGCGCCGAAGGAGGGGCCCGCGCACGAUUAGUUAGUUGGUAUGGUAACGGCCUACCAAGACUAUGAUCGUCAGCUGGUCUGAAAGGAUGGCCAGCCACACUGGAACUGACACACGGCCCAGACUCCUACGGGAGGCAGCAGUGGGGAAUCUUGC
rnacentral:rRNA from 1 species